rnacentral:rRNA from 1 species
GGACGGGUGAGUAACGCGUGAGAAUCUGCCCUCAGGAGGGGGAUAACGGUUGGAAACGACCGCUAAUACCCCAUAUGCCGAGAGGUGAAAUGAAAUUCGCCUGAGGAUGAGCUCGCGUCUGAUUAGCUAGUUGGUAGGGUAAAGGCCUACCAAGGCAUUGAUCAGUAGCUGGUCUGAGAGGAUGAUCAGCCACACUGGGACUGAGACACGGUCCCAGACUUCUUUCGGGAGGCAGCAGUGGGGAAUUUUCCGCAAUGGGCGCAAGCCUGACGGAGCAACGCCGCGUGAAGGAUGAAGGCCUCUGGGCUGUAAACCUCUUUUAUCAAGGAAGAAGAUCUGACGGUACUUGAUGAAUAAGCCACGGCUAAUUCCGUGCCAGCAGCCGCGGUAAUACGGGAGUGGCAAGCGUUAUCCGGAAUUAUUGGGCGUAAAGCGUCCGCAGGCGGUUUUACAAGUCUGUCGUUAAAGCGUGGAGCUCAACUCCAUUUCAGCGAUGGAAACUGUAAGACUCGAGUGUGGUAGGGGCAGAGGGAAUUCCCGGUGUAGCGGUGAAAUGCGUAGAUAUCGGGAAGAACACCAGUGGCGAAAGCGCUCUGCUGGGCCAUAACUGACGCUCAUGGACGAAAGCCAGGGGAGCGAAAGGGAUUAGAUACCCCUGUAGUC